AUCUCCACUCUCCCUCUCCAGGCUCCCUGUCUGCUAAUCAAGCACACCUGGUUCUCAUCAGUCUCAUCAUGCUGCAGUCUAAAUUUACACUGGCUCUUCACCCACUUAUCGCUAGAUUGUUUAGUCAGCUACUGUGGACCAUGCUCACCUGCUUGCUCUCAACCUGCCUAUCCAAAUGAACACCAGCAAGCCAUGCCAGCCACUCUCAUUCAUCCAGCUUGCUCCUUCAGCCACUGCUUACCACCCUCUGCCUUCACCAACAACAUCUCAGCUCUCUCCACCUUCCUUCCCCGCUCCCAUUUACAAUAAAUAUAUAUUUUUGUUAGUCUCAA